UACGUAGGGGGCAAGCGUUGUCCGGAUUUAUUGGGCGUAAAGAGCGUGUAGGCGGCCUUGCAAGUCCGUUGUGAAAACUCGAGGCUCAACCUCGAGACGCCGGUGGAAACUGCAAAGCUAGAGUCCGGAAGAGGAGAGCGGAAUUCCUGGUGUAGCGGUGAAAUGCGCAGAUAUCAGGAAGAACACCCGUGGCUAAGGCGGUUCUCUAGUACGGUACUGACGCUGAGACGCGAAAGCGUGGGGAGCGAACAGG
rnacentral:rRNA from 1 species